rnacentral:rRNA from 1 species
CCUACGGUGGGCAGCAGUGAGGAAUAUUGGUCAAUGGGCGAGAGCCUGAACCAGCCAAGUCGCGUGAAGGAUGAAGGAUCUAUGGUUUGUAAACUUCUUUUAUAUGGGAAUAAAGUGAGGAACGUGUUCCUUUUUGUAUGUACCAUAUGAAUAAGCAUCGGCUAACUCCGUGCCAGCAGCCGCGGUAAUACGGAGGAUGCGAGCGUUAUCCGGAUUUAUUGGGUUUAAAGGGUGCGCAGGCGGUCUGUUAAGUCAGCGGUCAAAGCCCGGGGCUCAACCCCGGCCCGCCGUUGAAACUGGCAGUCUCGAGUUGGAGAGAAGUAUGCGGAAUGCGCGGUGUAGCGGUGAAAUGCAUAGAGAUCGCGCAGAACUCCGAUUGCGAAGGCAGCAUGCCGGCUCCACACUGACGCUGAGGCACGAAAGCGUGGGUAUCGAACAGGAUUAGAUACCCGGGUAGUC